AAUAACUUUGAUACACAAAACGAUUAGUGUACUAUAUGUGUCACUAUAUACAAACGGUACUUUGAGACGUUAAUGAGUAAAUAAUCCAGCACAUCAAUGUACAAUUUAAAAUACAUGAUCACAUAUGUAAUAAAACACGACUUGGUACGCUAAAUAAAUAAAUAAUAGUAUUAUUUACCAUUUUAUUCCAACAUUAACAACUAGAUUUCUAGAUAACUUUAAAUGUGUUACAAACAAAUACAAGAUGGCGAUUGAAAACCGAAACCGCCGACACAAUAUAUGACUCUUUUGAGGUCGUGAAUGUCCGCCGACAAUCGAAGAGGAUUUUACGCCCGAAUAAUUAUCAAGAGCUUUGAUGCUAUCAAAUCUAUAUUUACUUACAAAACACAAAACCUAUCACACAGGCAUUAAAAAUAUAUAGCUAAAUGUCAGUACUAUUUUGAAAAGUUUUUUGUUGAACAAACACUAGAUGUGAGGUUAUACAUACAUUUAUAUUGUGCUAAGCUUAAAGUGGUUGUCCUUGAUAGAGUAGAUGCGGUGAUCUCAGUUAAAAUAUGUUAUUUUUGAUCAAGUUUGUUUUUAUAUUUCACCAUGCUUCAUUGUUUUUGCAAACGGCCACUUUCGUUAAAAAUUAAUAGAGAAAAUUAUAUGUAUGAACAUGUUUUUACUGGAGGUACCUUUGGAAUAACAUUAUUCUUAACCUUUUAUAUGUAUAUACAAUUUUCACAGGCCGAGCGAAACGAAUAACCAACCUUAUUGUUUCCAUUUUAAACACAAAGUAAUACGCGUUAUCCUCAACUUGCAAUCUGAUCUUAGAAUAUUUUCAGCAUAUGUCCGUCCACAAGUCAAGGCCGAGAGCGGGUCGCGUAAAGCAAACCCAGUCCUGGUGGGUACAUUGGUCCCAAUUGCAGUAGUAAUCGGCGUGGGCGGACUAAUCGCUGCAUCCGUCAUCAUCUACAGAAAGCGAAUGCGACCAGUAAAUGAGCGACUAACGAUUGCAAUUCAAGAAACUGGUGAUGAAACUACAAAUAAUGACGAACAAGAAACUGAACCAAUACCUUUAAAAGAAAUUAGAUUAGUCGCUGAAAGAUGAUGGACAUACUCACGGAAUUCACAUCGGUGACGUGGUCUUUCAACUUGUAAGUACUCAUAAUCAUACAUGUUUAAUUGUUGAAUGUUAAAUACUCAUAAUCAUACGUGUAUACUUGUUGAAAGUCAUCAAUCUUAGAUGGACGUUUUUGUGUUCUUCAUGCAAACGUAGAACUGCUUUGAUAUAAUCAGUUUUGUUCAUAUAAUUGCAAUAAUGAAUUAGCUUUGCAUCUACAUACAGACUGGUGCAUUGACAGACAGUUGAAAUUACUAACAUGACUGUAUAACACAUGUCUUUAACACUUUUAAUGCAACACAUCGUCAGUCCAUGUAAAUUGAAGUAUUAAUGAUGGUUAUAAAGGCGUCCAUUGCCAGUCUUCACAUCAUCCAUACCUCACAUCAUUGAUGUCUCAUAGAUCUGCUUGUUAUUAAUCCUGCAUGUAUGUACUGUUGGUGCAUGAUUGCAUGUGCAAUUGUUAGGCAUUUUUUUAUAAAAACAUCUUAUUACA